CAGUCGAACGGCAGCACAGCAGUAGCAAUACUGUGGGUGGCGAGUGGCGGACGGGUGAGUAAUGCAUCGGGAUCUACCCAAACGUGGGGGAUAACGUAGGGAAACUUACGCUAAUACCGCAUACGUCUUACGAGAGAAAGCAGGGGACCUUCGGGCCUUGCGCGGUUGGACGAACCGAUGUGCGAUUAGCUAGUUGGUAGGGUAAUGGCCUACCAAGGCGACGAUCGCUAGCUGGUCUGAGAGGAUGAUCAGCCACACUGGAACUGAGACACGGUCCAGACUCCUACGGGAGGCAGCAGUGGGGAAUAUUGGACAAUGGGCGCAAGCCUGAUCCAGCAAUGCCGCGUGUGUGAAGAAGGCCUUCGGGUUGUAAAGCACUUUUAUCAGGAGCGAAAUACUACCGGCUAAUAUCCGGUGGGGCUGACGGUACCUGAGGAAUAAGCACCGGCUAACUUCGUGCCAGCAGCCGCGGUAAUACGAAGGGUGCAAGCGUUAAUCGGAAUUACUGGGCGUAAAGCGUGCGUAGGCGGUUAUUUAAGUCUGUUGUGAAAUCCCCGGGCUCAACCUGGGAAUGGCAAUGGAUACUGGAUAGCUAGAGUGUGAUAGAGGAUGGUGGAAUUCCCGGUGUAGCGGUGAAAUGCGUAGAGAUCGGGAGGAACAUCAGUGGCGAAGGCGGCCAUCUGGAUCAACACUGACGCUG
rnacentral:rRNA from 1 species